rnacentral:misc_RNA from 1 species
GUGAAUCAUCAAAUUUUUGAACGCAAAUUGCACUCUCCUCGGAGAGUAUGCCUGUUUGAGGGUCAGCCUAUAAAAAAUCCACAUCGUUGGUGUUUUCCGGUGGCGUUCGUUCGGAAUUGGGUUCUCUUAAAUCCCUUUUAUUUAAGCGACUUAAAAUUUUCCUUUUGCUUCCUUAACGUUUCUUAGAUCUUAUUCCUUACCAGUUUAAAGUAUCCG